AGAGAAGCAAUACCGCGAGGUGGAGCAAAACUUCAAAAAUGGUCUCAGUUCGGACUGUAGGCUGCAACUCGCCUACACGAAGUUGGAAUUGCUAGUAAUCGUGGAUCAGCAUGCCACGGUGAAUACGUUCCCGGGUCUUGUACGCACCGCCCGUCACACCAUGGGAGCUGGUAACACCCGAAGUCAGUAGUCUAACCGCAAGGAGGACGCUGCCGAAGGUGGGAUUAGCGACUGGGGUGAAGUCGUAACAAGGUAAC
rnacentral:rRNA from 1 species